rnacentral:rRNA from 1 species
AGAUACCCUGGUAGUCCACGCCCUAAACGAUGAAUGUUAGUCGUCGGGUAGCUAGUCUAUUCGGUGAUGCAGCUAACGCAUUAAACAUUCCGCCUGGGGAGUACGGUCGCAAGAUUAAAACUCAAAGGAAUAGACGGGGACCCGCACAAGUGGUGGAGCAUGUGGUUUAAUUCGAAGAUACGCGAAGAACCUUACAUAGCCUUGACAUAUAUUAGAACAUUUUAGAGAUAAGAUGGUGCCUUCGGGAGCUUUUAUACAGGUGCUGCACGGCUGUCGUCAGCUCGUGUCGUGAGAUGUUGGGUUAAGUCCCGCAACGAGCGCAACCCUCGUCACUAGUUACUAACGGUUCGGCCGAGGACUCUAGUGAGACUGCCUUCGCAAGGAGGAGGAAGGUGAGGACGACGUCAAGUCAUCAUGGCCCUUACGGCUAGGGCAACACACGUGCUACAAUGGCCAGGACAAUGAGACGCGAUACCGCGAGGUGGAGCAAAUCUAUAAACCUGGUCUCAGUUCGGAUUGUUCUCUGCAACUCGAGAACAUGAAGCUGGAAUCACUAGUAAUCGUAGAUCAGCUAUGCUACGGUGAAUACGUUCCCGGGUCUUGUACUCACCGCCCGUCACACCAUGGGAGUUGAUUUCACCCGAAGCGGGGAAGCUAAACUGGCUACCCUCCACGGUGGAAUUAGCGACUGGGGUGAAGUCGUAACAAGGUAACCGUA